UUAAAACAAUUGUGUAAUUUAAUUAAAGAAAAGGUGAAAAGUCGAAAAUUGGCAAAACAAAAAUACAAAAAUAAAAGGAAAAGCCCUAGUUAACGUCUACAAUUUAGAAGACAACCGCCUGUCGCCGCUCCUUACCCACGCCGUCGCCGGUCAUUUCCCACGCCGUCGCUGCCACUUUCUCAUCCUGGCGCCUCCACUUUCACCAACCUGACGACGCCGCCUCCCUUCUACCAUAACCCACUACAUCUCCACCUAAAUCUCCCUCUCUCUAACAUGGCGAUGUUGCCGGCUACCUGCCGGACGAGCUGGGCUUGCUGAUCUAUCUGGCGCUCUGCCCACAUUAACUCCAACAGAUUCUACGGCCUCGUUCUGGAAUACCUUCUACAUUCCAGUUCAAGAUAUUAUUUUGGGGCGUUUCAGAUUUCUCACUUCUCUUAAGGGGUUUGACUAAAAAAGAGAGGAGAAAUUCCUGACAAAUUUCAACUUCUGCUAGCUGAAAUUCUGCAAUGGAAAGACGAGCAGAACCUCUAUUUUCGAAGCUAUAGAAGAAGUAUCAGACUACAAGUUGCCAUCUCAGAGCAGGAUGAAGGGCAGCGCUGAUGGAAAAACUGUAGGCCCAUCAGGCUGUAUGGAAAUCGUUCACACUACAAAUUUCUUGAUUUUGGUUGAUGUUAUGCUCUAAAACCUGGAAAAGGAUACUGAUGUUGUAGAUGCCAAAAUUGGCGAUGAUGGCGGUUGCUUGAUAGGAAUUGUUAUGACAAAGUGACUCCAGAGAGGUUGCAUCUGAUGCUUCGUACCUCAAAGCUACCUUAGAUGGAAGCUGGUUGGAUGGUUGAAUUUGUUGGAUGAAUGGUGGUGAAUGUUGAAGGUUGGAGAUUGUAUUGGAAGUUGGAGAUUGUAUUAGAGGUUUUUUAGUAGAUAAAUGAAGGCGUAGUUAGAGAUGAUACAAUUAUGAAUGUAAUGUCUUUUGAUGAAAUACCAAACAAGAUGUUUGACUUUUAUGAUAUUAAUCGAGUUUUUAUUAAUUAUUUUUUA